UUUUCAAAUUUAAAAACAUUAAACUAAUCAUGCUAAUACAGUUUACAUGUAAUUGCUAUCAGAAUCUAAAAUUCAAUUUCUGCUCUACAAAGAUUUUUAAAUAAUAUAAAACAUAGCAAAUAUAAUAUAUCAAAACAAAAACUUGAAAUUGUAAUAUACAUUAAUAUAAUGUAAACAAUUGUGCAAGAAAAUUAAAUGUUGUAUGUUGUAAUACAUGACAAAUUAAUCUUAGAUCCUUUAAUUGCUCACAUUCAGUACACGGAUGCCCCACUCACACUAUCAUUUUCUAUGUUCAGUGGACCGUGAAAUUGGGGUCAAAACUCUUAUUUGACAUUAAAUUUAGAAAAAUCAUAUCAUAAGGAACAUGUGUACUAAGUUUCAAGUUGAACGGACGUACGGACGCACGAAUGAACAGACAGACAGACAGACGAACGGAUGUACAGACCAGAAAACAUAAUGCCCCUCUACUAUCAUAGGUGGGGCAUAAAAAUACUAAACUAAUUCUGUUAACAUCUAUAUUAUAUAAUUCUAUUAGAUUCUAAAAUACAAAUUCUACUCUACAAAGUUUAUAAAACA
rnacentral:lncRNA from 1 species